AGUGAACGCUGGCGGCAGGCCUAACACAUGCAAGUCGAUCGAACCGCAAGGUUAGUGGCGGACGGGGGAGUAACACGUGGGAAUCUACCUUUAGAUGGGGGAUAACUCAGGGAAACUUGAGCUAAUACCGCAUAACGUCGAGAGACCAAAGAUUUAUCGUCUAAAGAUGAGCCCGCGUUAGAUUAGUUUGUUGGUGGGGUAAUGGCCUACCAAGACUACGAUCUAUAGCUGGUUUGAGAAGAUGACCAGCCACAUUGGGACUGAGACACGGCCCAAACUCCUACGGGAGGCAGCAGUGGGGAAUAUUGGGCAAUGGGCGAAAGCCUGACCCAGCCAUGCCGCGUGAGUGAUGAAGGCCUUAGGGUUGUAAAGCUCUUUCAGGGGGGAAGAUAAUGACGGUACCCCCAGAAGAAGCUCCGGCUAACUUCGUGCCAGCCGCCGCGGUAA
rnacentral:rRNA from 1 species